rnacentral:misc_RNA from 1 species
UUUGUAUCCUUGAACCAAAUUCAAAAUCCAAGCAGGGAAAUGUUACAGAAUAGGUUUUUAUCAAGAUGCAGAAAGAUUGAAGUUUUCUUGAAGCCGUUUUUUCAUAAACUGUUCACAAGUUCAACAGAGCAGUGCAUUGCUAGAAAUUAGAAAUUAAAUAAUUCGACAUUUGAAACAUUUGUAUGCAGAAAAUUCUACUUAGGAUGUGGGAUGUCAAUAUUGGUGUGGCAGGUGUACGGUAUCAUAAAUAGUUCACCAGCUUUCUCCUGACUAAAGAAUUUUAGGGUG